rnacentral:rRNA from 1 species
UACGUAGGGGGCAAGCGUUGUCCGGAUUUACUGGGCGUAAAGAGCGUGUAGGCGGCCAAGCAGGUCCGUUGUGAAAACUGGAGGCUUAACCUCCAGACGUCGACGGAAACCGCGUGGCUAGAGUCCGGAAGAGGAGAGUGGAAUUCCUGGUGUAGCGGUGAAAUGCGCAGAUAUCAGGAAGAACACCAAUGGCGAAGGCAGCUCUCUGGGACGGUACUGACGCUGAGACGCGAAAGCGUGGGAAGCGAACAGG